AUUGAAUUUAUAAAUAUUAUUAUUUGUUGUUGUGAAUUAUAAAUUAAAUGUUCUCUUUUUUCUUGAUUUCAUAAAUGAAGUUGUUUGUCCUAUGAAUAGUUAAAACCUGGUUUUGUUAUUUUUAGUUUUGAAAGUAAUCGUAGAAGGUUUUUUUUCGGCACAAGUGAAAUGUAUUAAUGAAGACUUAAAAACACAGCGAAAUCAAGGGUUGGCUUUACAUUUCUGCAGUACUUGUGACUAUUCAACAUGGAAUAAAGCCCAUUUAAAACGGCAUAUGGCUGUUCAUACUGGGGAAAAGCCAUUUGCCUGUCCUGUAUGUGGAAGAAGGUUUAGUUUGAAAUGGAAUAUGAAAUCUCAUAUGGUUGUUCACCAAAAAAUAUUUUGAGACAUUUUAAAACGUCACAACAGUGUAUUGAAAUAUGUUUAUAAUAUUGAAGCAGAUACUGAUAUGCAAGCCAAUAGAUUCAAAAAUGCAAAACUUCAUUUCUGUGCUUAUUGUAAUUAUACUACUCUUUACACUACACAUUUAAAAAAACAUGUCAGGAUUCACACUGGUGAACGCCCAUUUAAAUGUAUGAACUGUGAAAAAACCUUUGCCCAAAAACAUCAUUUACAGGGACAUCUGUUAACUCAUCUAUCAAAUAAAAAAUAAGAUUUCUUUUUUAACGAA
rnacentral:misc_RNA from 1 species